rnacentral:sRNA from 1 species
CACUAGCCCCGAUAGGAACGGCAUCCUUUUUUUUGCAAUGGAAUAAGCCUGGGCAAAAAAGAUAUAGUGGAUAGCGGGAAUAGCU